GAUGAAGAACGCAGCGAAAUGCGAUAAGUAAUGUGAAUUGCAGAAUUCAGUGAAUCAUCGAAUCUUUGAACGCACAUUGCGCCCGCUAGUAUUCUGGCGGGCAUGCCUGUCCGAGCGUCAUUUCAACCCUCAAGCCCCCGGGCUUGGUGUUGGGGAUCGGCGAGCCUCCGCGCCCGCCGUCCCCUAAAUCUAGUGGCGGUCUCGCUGUAGCUUCCUCUGCGUAGUAGCACACCUCGCACUGGGAAACAGCGCGGCCACGCCGUUAAACCCCCAACUUCUGAACGUUUGACCUCGGAUCAGGUAGGAAUACCCGCUGAACUUAAGCAUAUCAAUAAACGGAGGA
rnacentral:misc_RNA from 1 species